rnacentral:rRNA from 1 species
GACGUAGGGUGCGAGCGUUGUCCGGAUUUAUUGGGCGUAAAGAGCUCGUAGGCGGCUCGUCGCGUCGACCGUGAAAACCCGCGGCUUAACUGCGGGCUUGCGGUUGAUACGGGCGGGCUAGAGUGUGGUAGGGGAGAUCGGAAUUCCUGGUGUAGCGGUGAAAUGCGCAGAUAUCAGGAGGAACACCGGUGGCGAAGGCGGAUCUCUGGGCCAUUACUGACGCUGAGGAGCGAAAGCGUGGGGAGCGAACAGG